UCUUUUAAUUUUUAAAAGACCUUUUUCGAAAGGUAUGCUUAUUCAGGGGAUUGCGACACAUUAGUUAGUUGGUAGGGUAAAAGCCUACCAAGACUAUGAUGUGUAGCUGGACUGAGAGGUCGAACAGCCACAUUGGGACUGAGACACGGCCCAAACUCCUACGGGAGGCAGCAGUAGGGAAUUUUCGGCAAUGGAGGAAACUCUGACCGAGCAACGCCGCGUGAACGAUGAAGUAUUUCGGUAUGUAAAGUUCUUUUAUUGAAGAAGAAAAAAUAGUGGAAAAACUAUAUUGACGCUAUUCAAUGAAUAAGCCCCGGCAAACUAUGUGCCAGCAGCCGCGGUAAUACAUAGGGGGCAAGCGUUAUCCGGAAUUAUUGGGCGUAAAGGGUGCGUAGGCGGUUUAAUAAGUCUGUAGUUUAAUUUCAGUGCUUAACACUGUCCUGCUAUAGAAACUAUUAGACUAGAGUGAGAUAGAGGUAAGCGGAAUUCCAUGUGUAGCGGUAAAAUGCGUAAAUAUAUGGAGGAACNCCAGAGGCGUAGGCGGCUUACUGGGUCUUUACUGACGCUGAGGCACGAAAGCGUGGGGAGCAAACAGGAUUAGAUACCCUGGUAGUCCACGCCGUAAACGAUGAGUACUAAGUGUCGGGGAAACUCGGUACUGAAGUUAACACAUUAAGUACUCCGCCUGAGUAGUACGUACGCAAGUAUGAAACUUAAAGGAAUUGACGGGACUCCGCACAAGCGGUGGAUCAUGUUGUUUAAUUCGAAGAUACACGAAAAACCUUACCAGGUCUUGACAUACUCUGCAAAGCUAUAGCAAUAUAGUGGAGGUUAUCAGGGAUACAGGUGGUGCAUGGUGGUCGUCAGCUCGUGUCGUGAGAUGUUAGGUUAAGUCCUAAAACGAGCGCAACCCUUAUCGUUAGUUACCAGCAUGUUAUGAUGGGGACUUUAACGAGACUGCCAAUGAAAAAUUGGAGGAAGGUGAGGAUCACGUCAAAUCAUCAUGCCCCUUAUGAUCUGGGCUACAAACGUGAUACAAUGGCUGUUACAAAGAGUAGCUAAAACGCGAGUUUAUAGCCAAUCUCAAAAAAACAGUCUCAGUUCGGAUUGAAGUCUGCAACUCGACUUCAUGAAGUUGGAAUCGCUAGUAAUCGCGAAUCAGCAUGUCGCGGUGAAUACGUUCUCGGGGUUUGUACACACCGCCCGUCAAACCACGAAAAUCGGUAAUACUCGAAAGCGGUGGCCUAACUUCUUCGGAAGAGGGAACCGUCUAAGGUAGGAUUGAUGAUUGGGGUUAAGUCGUAACAAGGUAUCCCUACCGGAAGGUGGGGAUGGAUCACCUCCUUUCUAAGGAAAAGUUUUUAAAUUUUCAUCUUCAGUUUUGAAAGACUUAGUUCUUAUAAGUUUUUCCUUUUUU
rnacentral:rRNA from 1 species